GUUCAGUCCAAACAAUAGAACAGCACCUGGCCGAUUUCAUGUAAUAUCUGAAAAGAAAAGAUAUUACAUGUAUCGGGUAGGAGCUGUUUGAGUAAAGGAUCUUUCGAA
rnacentral:pre_miRNA from 14 species